AUCACUAACUUUACUGCCAUC
rnacentral:miRNA from 1 species